AGGGUUUGAUUCUGGCUCAGGACGAACGCUGGCGGCGUGCCUAACACAUGCAAGUCGAACGAAGCUUGACGAUAGAUUCUUCGGAUGAAAUCAGAUAUGACUGAGUGGCGGACGGGUGAGUAACGCGUGAGGAACCUGCCCUUCGGAGGGGGAUAGCGUCUGGAAACGGACGGUAAUACCGCAUAAUGUAUUUUGAUGACAUCAUUUAAAUACCAAAGCUUUUGCGCCGAAGGAUGGCCUCGCGUCUGAUUAGAUAGUUGGUGGGGUAACGGCCUACCAAGUCGACGAUCAGUAGCCGGACUGAGAGGUUGAACGGCCACAUUGGGACUGAGACACGGCCCAG
rnacentral:rRNA from 1 species